GAUUUUGCUCCUGGACUGCUCAUUUUGUGCUGGAAAUAAGUUAAUCACUCCUCAUCUAAAAAUAAAAGUAUAUUGGAUACACAGGCAAAAUCUAGAAGACAGAGUGAAUGAAUAGCAAGAAAAAUAUAGAAAAGGAUAUAACUAGUAGUGCACUUGAUGUUAGAACAUUAGAAUACAAUAUAGAUGCUAAAUGGAAUGAAGUGAAAGUGGUGAAAUGCAUCAGGUGCAGAAACAAAGGGACUAUUGCAGAGUCAACUGAGAUAAUUAAAACAUGUAAAAAUUGUUAUAUUGUCAAUAAUAAUGACCCAAGUUCUCUUUCUUACUCAGGGAAGUGAUCAGUAAAUAAUUUAUAAAAUAGGCUAAGCAAAGCUUCGUUGAGUUUUAGUUUCUCCAUAAUGCUUAUCAUGAUAAUGUCUGAUAGGAAUUAUAGUUUAAUGUUUAUUUUUUUUUAAUCUACCCC
rnacentral:lncRNA from 1 species